rnacentral:lncRNA from 1 species
CCGCCCCGUUCCCGGCUGGCUGGGGAAGGGGCGUCCGGAGCCGCAGUGGCCCAGGAACAACUACAGCCCGUCGGGGACGAGAGAGAUGGGGGCGGGCGUUAGAAACGCGUUCUCCGCUGCGUGAGGCUGUGGCCUAGACCUCGGCGCGUUUCAUCUCCGGCGUACUCCUCGGGGAGAGCCGGGAGGUCCUCCUCACUCUGUGACCUACGCUGUGGCAGUUGGGAAAGGACCUGAGAAAGUGACAAAAGGCGAUGCUCCGGUCACAGCAGGGGCCCAGAAGGGCGCCCACAAGGGAUCUGAGCACGCCUGGCCCCUGGCUUCCCGAGGAGGGUUGCGCCUUAAGUGGGGUGCGCGAGGACCGGGCGGGCUCCGGGGCAACAAGGCCCCACAGUCCCAGGGGUGCUCGCGGUGACCUGGUGGGGCUACUGGUGGGUCGGCCCCGCAGCCGUGAGCCAAGGAAACAGGGCCGGUGGCACUGACGCUCCUGUGAGAACCUAACUGCCACCUGAGGCGUCCAUGCGGGCCUGGCCAGGAGCGCCUCGAGGAGCCCAGGCAGAUGAGGAAACUGAAGCUUGUGCCAAACGAGGAAAGGAAUUCGGGUCAGGUCACACAGCUAGUAGAUCUCAGGGCUGGGCUUUGAAUGCACCCUGGCCUACACAGGAAGUUCAAGGCCAACGUGAGCUACUUACAGACCUUCAAAAAAACUAGAAAAUGUAAAAAUAAAG